AGCUGCGAGGUCCUCGGGCCGAGCGCCGGCGGCGAGAGUGACGCGCGGGACUUUGCCCCGCCUUCCCUUCCUUAAAUACGACUCCCUCGCCGGUCCCGCUGUCCCCUCCUAGAUGCCUUGUAGGCGCGGGACUUACUGGUGCUCGGCGCCAGAGGCUGUCCGCCUUUCCCACUGCGGUGCAAUUUCUCUCCUCUGCCCCCUCUGCCAGCUCCCCUCAAACCCCUCAGCGGGAGGCGUCCUUAAACCUCCGCGCCGCCACAUUACUAGUUACUUUGUUUCCCGUGGCACAAGUUAGUCGGAGCUCAAGCAACUCUCCACCAACAAGCACUUAACCAAGGCACUGCUAGUCGAAGAGAAUAUAAAUGCAAUAAGUGAAACAAUCCCUAGUUGCAAAGUGAAGCACGAAGUGUAAAUAUAAACGUCAUAUAAGAAUGGAAAUAUAGUCCAUAUAGGAAUAAAUGAAAGAAAGCAGUCUCUGCCUGCAGACUUUACGUUCUAAAGGCGAAACAAAUAGCCACCCUACCUUCAGCAACUACCAUUCUGAUUAUCCAGCAGCCAACAACAUUGAGAUAAGACUUUCCAUUGGCAAAAAAAAAUAUGAUUUACUCAAGGCUCAGAUGAUGAUGGAGAGUACAAGGUUGGAUGAAGCCAUUAAGUUGGCCAAGUUUGGAUGCUUGCGGUGAGGUCUGUGGAACCUUGCCAGCUUUCCUCUAUGGCUCUGUGAUUUGAUCUUCUGCUAAAUCGGUCAGUUAUCGACUUUGGCCUUGGUAUUAUCCUGGCAUCUCAGUUUAGCAGAAUGCACAGCAGUGCUCCUGUUUUCCACCAUCCACCUGCCAGAGAUGUUGCAUAUGGAUCAAAAAGCUGGCCCUAUUGUUUCAGAUUUUUAUGACAUUCCGAAGUCUAUUAACCAGAUGAAAGUCUGUGAUCACUGGAGUGCAAAUAAACAGUAUGUGUUUAGGC
rnacentral:lncRNA from 1 species